rnacentral:lncRNA from 1 species
AUGGUGAUCCUUUGCUUACUUGCAUUGUCUCUGUGUCUCCAUUCCUGGGGGAUUUUCUUGGACCCUACAUACCAAUAUGUAAUAUUGAUACUAAGAUGGAAGACUUGCCCAGGACUUGAGCACUUCCAAGCAUUGCCGGGCCCAGCCAGGAUCUCCAAAAUUCUAGAGAGAAGAUGAAGAAACUGAGGCAAACAAAGUUCAGUGACUUGCACAUGGCCACACAACUAGUAAGUGUUCAAGGUUGGAUUUGAACUCAGACCUUCCUAACUCCAGGCCUGACAUUCUGUCCACUAUUCCACUGAGCUACCUGGUAAUGUCUAGAGCAAGUCUCUGGAGCAAGAAGUCAUCAGGGACUCAUUAAGACCUUUUUAUU